rnacentral:rRNA from 1 species
GACGUAGGGCGCGAGCGUUGUCCGGAUUUAUUGGGCGUAAAGAGCUCGUAGGCGGCUUGUCGCGUCGUUCGUGAAAACCUGCAGCUCAACUGCAGGCUUGCGGUCGAUACGGGCAGGCUAGAGUUCGGUAGGGGAGACUGGAAUUCCUGGUGUAGCGGUGGAAAUGCGCAGAUAUCAGGAGGAACACCCGGUGGCGAAGGCGGGUCUCUGGGCCGAUACUGACGCUGAGGAGCGAAAGCGUGGGGAGCGAACAGG